CCGGCGACCGGCGCACGGGUGAGUAACACGUAUGCAACCUGGCCGUGACAGAUGGAUAACCGGGAGAAAUCCCGCCUAAUACAACAUAAUGCCGGGAGGGGACAUCCCCUGCCGGCCAAAGGGGGCGACCCCGGUCACGGAUGGGCAUGCGGCGCAUUAGGUAGUUGGUGGGGCAACGGCCCACCAAGCCGACGAUGCGUAGGGGUUCUGAGAGGAAGGUCCCCCACAUUGGAGCUGAGACACGGUCCAAACUCCUACGGAAGGCAGCAG
rnacentral:rRNA from 1 species